AAAAAGAAAAACCCUGGGUUUCUGUGUCUAACGUUUAACUGUUCGUCUUAUAUGAAAUUUUUUUAUAAUUAGUGUUUUAUUGUUGUUAAAUGAUAGAACAUAAUUAAUACUUUAUACGUGACUUGUCUUUUUAAUUUUUUUUAAAUAAGACGGACGAUCAAACGCUGAACACGGAAACACGCUGGACACAUA
rfam:Oryza sativa Japonica Group DNA, chromosome 3, cultivar: Nipponbare, complete sequence.